rnacentral:rRNA from 1 species
GAGAGGAUGAUCAGCAACACUGGGACUGAGACACUGCCCAGACUCCUACGGGAGGCUGCAGUCGAGAAUCAUUGUCAAUGCACGAAAGUGUGAACAUGCGACGCCGCGUGGAGGAAGACGGCCUUUGGGUUGUAAACUCCUGUCAGCAGGGAGUAAGGAUGGUUUAUCUAAUACAUAAGCCAUUUGAUAGUACCUGCAGAGGAAGUCACGGCUAACUCUGUGCCAGCAGCCGCGGUAAUACAGAGGUGGCGAACGUUGUUCGGAUUUACUGGGCGUAAAGGGUCCGCAGGCGGCUUGGUGUGUCAGAUGUGAAAGCCCACGGCUUAACCGUGGAAUUGCAUUUGAAACUGCCAAGCUAGAGUACUGGAGGGGAGAAGGGAACACUUGGUGUAGCGGUGAAAUGCGUAGAUAUCAAGUGGAACACCGGAGGCGAAGGCGCUUCUCUGGACAGAUACUGACGCUCAUGGACGAAAGUUAGGGUAGCGAAAGGGAUUAGAUACCCCUGUAGUCCUAACCGUAAACGGUGUGCGCUAGGCGUGGGUGGCUUUACCCCCAUCCGUGCCUGAGCUAACGCAUUAAGCGCACCGCCUGGGGAGUACGGUCGCAAGAUUAAAACUCAAAGGAAUUGACGGGGACCCGCACAAGCGGUGGAGCAUGUGGCUUAAUUCGAUGCAACGCGAAGAACCUUACCUGGGCUUGACAUAUAGCUGCAUACGACCCGAAAGGGACGUAGCCUUCGAGGGUGCUAUACAGGUGCUGCAUGGCUGUCGUCAGCUCGUGCCGUGAGGUGUUGGGUUAAGUCCCGCAACGAGCGCAACCCCUGUGUUUAGUUGCCAGCACGUAAUGGUGGGAACUCUAAACAGACUGCCUGUGAAAGCAGGAGGAAGGUGGGGAUGACGUCAAGUCAGUAUGGUCCUUAUGCCCAGGGCUGCACACGUGCUACAAUGGGAUGUACAGUGGGAAGCUAAGCCGCGAGGUGGAGCAAAUCCUCAAAACAUCCCCCAGUUCGGAUUGUAGUCUGAAACUCGACUACAUGAAGUUGGAAUCGCUAGUAAAGGCGUAUCAGCUACGACGCCUUGAAUACGUUCCCGGGUCUUGUACACACCGCCCGUCACAUCAUGGAAGUUAGUUGCACCCGAAGUCGUUGAUCCAACCUUUUAUUAGGAGGAAGGCGCCUAAGGUGUGAUUGGUAACUGGGAUGAAGUCGAAACAAGGUA